rnacentral:rRNA from 1 species
UACGUGAGGUGCAAGCGUUGUCCGGAAUUAUUGGGCGUAAAGAGCUCGUAGGCGGUCUGUCGCGUCUGCUGUCGAAAACCUCGAGGGCUUAACCCUGAGCUUGCAGUGGGUACGGGCAGACUAGAGUGCGGUAGGGGAGACUGGAAUUCCAGGUGUAGCGGUGAAAUGCGUAGGAUAGUCUGGAGGAACACCGGUGGCGAAGGCGGCAUCCUGGACCGGCAUUGACGCGUGAGGCGGCGAAAAGCUAGGGGAGACAAA